CUACGGGCGGCUGCAGUGGGGAAUAUUGGACAAUGGGGGCAACCCUGAUCCAGCCAUGCCGCGUGUGUGAAGAAGGCCCUCGGGUUGUAAAGCACUUUCAGUGAGGAAGAACGCCUGGUGGUUAAUACCCAUCAGGAAAGACAUCACUCACAGAAGAAGCACCGGCUAACUCCGUGCCAGCAGCCGCGGUAAUACGGAGGGUGCGAGCGUUAAUCGGAAUUACUGGGCGUAAAGCGCGCGUAGGUGGCUUGAUAAGCCGGUUGUGAAAGCCCCGGGCUCAACCUGGGAACGGCAUCCGGAACUGUCAAGCUAGAGUGCAGGAGAGGAAGGUAGAAUUCCCGGUGUAGCGGUGAAAUGCGUAGAGAUCGGGAGGAAUACCAGUGGCGAAGGCGGCCUUCUGGACUGACACUGACACUGAGGUGCGAAAGCGUGGGUAGCAAACAGGAUUAGAUACCCGAGUAGUC
rnacentral:rRNA from 1 species